rnacentral:rRNA from 1 species
GUCCACGCUGUAAACGAUGUGCACUAGGUAUGGGGUACGAGAUGUACUCCGUGUCGGAGCGAACUCGUUAAGUGCACCGCCUGGGGAGUAUGCUCGCAAGGGUGAAACUCAAAGGAAUUGACGGGCCCCCCGCACAAGCGGUGGAGCAUGUGGUUUAAUUCGAUGGUACACGAGGAACCUUACCAGGGUUUGACAUGUGCAGGGAUGCUCGAGAGAUCGGGCAGUCCGGUUAUCCGGACCUGCACACAGGUGCUGCAUGGCUGUCGU